CUCAAUGAUAUUUCAAUAGCCGCAAUAUAUCGUGCUAAGGUAGCAUAAUCAUUUGUCUUUUAAUUAAAGACUAGAACAAAAGAUUCAAUAUUUUCAUUACUAUAUAAAACAUACAAUAUUUAACUUAUACUAAACGUUAAAAAACAUUUAUUCAUUAAAAAGACGACAAGACCCUAUCGAACUUAACUAAAGUUCAACUGGGAAAGUUAAUUAAUUAAAACUUUAAUUUAAAACUUAAACAAAACCUAAUACAAUUAAACUAAUCAAGUUACCAUAGGGAUAACAGCGCAAUAAAUUUUUCAAGCUCUAAUUUAAAAAUUUGAUUACGACCUCGAUGUUGAAUUAAUAAUCUAUUAAACGCAACGAUUAAUAAGAAAGUC
rnacentral:rRNA from 1 species